GACGUAGGGCGCGAGCGUUGUCCGGAUUUAUUGGGCGUAAAGAGCUCGUAGGCGGCUUGUCGCGUCGUCCGUGAAAACCUGCAGCUCAACUGCAGGCUUGCGGGCGAUACGGGCAGGCUAGAGUUCGGUAGGGGAGACUGGAAUUCCUGGUGUAGCGGUGAAAUGCGCAGAUAUCAGGAGGAACACCGAUUGCGAAGGCAGCUCGCUGGGACGUUACUGACGCUGAGACGCGAAAGCGUGGGGAGCAAACAGG
rnacentral:rRNA from 1 species